GCACCCACCAUCAUGCCCAGCUAAUUUUUGUAUUUUUGUAGAGACGGGGUUUCACCAUGUUGGCCAGGCUGUUCUGGAACUCCUGGUCUCAGGUGAUCUGCCUGCCUCGGCCUCCCAAAGUGCUGGGAUUACAAGUGUGAGGCACCAUGACCGGCCCCAAUAUUCUUUCAUACUAGACACUGUGUAAGCUAAUUAUUCAGCAAGUAUUUUGCACUGAACUCUAAAUAGGCAAGUAUUUUGUGUCCAUUUUACAGACAAGAGGAAUAAAAUAGGUAAAGUAUUUCCCCAAAGCUGUGAUAAAUGAAUCCCAUAGCUAGAAAUGGCAGAAAACCCAUGGACACUUGCAUGGGUAGUGGAUGUCUGCCUUACCUUGGCACAAUGCCUGGUCCUCACAUAUCAUUUCAGUGACAUUGCCAAAUGGGAGAAACCAUGUCUGGUACAUGGGACACAGGCUCCCUCAAAAUAUCUUGAAUGCAUUUUUUUCAGGGGAGAAAAUCCAUUUGAAUAAGAACAGCUAGUUACAGCUUAUUAAGUGCCAGACACUGUUCAAAGUGUUUGAUGUAUAUUAACUUCUCAAAACCACUCUAUAAGUUAGGUACGAUGCUUUCCAUCUCCAUUUUACAGAUGAGGAAACUGAGCCGUCAAAACUAAGUGACUUGCUUGAAGCCAUACAGCUGGGGAGAAGAAGACCAGGAUCUGAACUCAGCUGAACCUCCCAAGCCUGGGCCACUGAACCAUUUCACCUCUUGGAAAAACUUAAUGGUCAGAGUGGCCCACCCAGUUCAUGGACAGCAUGGAGUGAUUUGGGUGGUGUUUGUGAGGAGCCUGCAUUCUUUGGAAGGAAGACCUUUCGGAUGACCCGACCAGUCCUCCUCUUCGGACUCUGGAUGCUGGCGAAGCAGUUUGAAUUUUAUGCUUGUGAAAGGGCUCUGUUGAUGAUUUUGAUGUCUGCAGCUUUCCAUCCGUAUGACCAGACACAUUCUCACCAGCUCCAUAUAUCAAGAUGAGGAGGGGAGACCUGGUAGCUUUUCCUUCUGUUAACUGCUGGCAUCAGUAGAGUGAUGCAGACAUUUCUCUAUUAAGAACGGAGCUGAGACUGAAGCUUCAUUUUGUAUGAGACUGUGCAGAGGUCAUCUGAAGUCUCUCCCAGGUGAGGUUAUUAUGAUCCUGGAUUUGAAACUGUGACCUACUGGUUUGCCAGAUGCCAAGAACAAAUGCUCUGAAAUUGAUUUUCCAUAAGACAUGAUGAGCUGCUCUAGCUUGCCUGGGAAGAGUGGAAUAUUUAACCUGUGGGUGAGACUCCUUCUUGCUACCUAUCAGCUUUGCCACUGCUCUGAUCGAGAAACGUCUCGGGAGCAGAGUUGGUAAGAGUGAAUCAGACUAUCUGCUAGCAUAGGACUCGUGGUACCUGCUUGUUCGAUCCCUCAUUUCCAUCCCCUCUAUCCUUUGCCUAUUGUCAGUCAUUGUGGUUGAUCCAUUCAGAAGAAUCGUGAAUAUUCAUAGCCAUCUUAAUUUACUAAUAUAUAUUCACUAAUGUCA